rnacentral:rRNA from 1 species
GAUGAACGCUAGCUACAGGCUUAACACAUGCAAGUCGAGGGGUAGCACGGAGGAAGCUUGCUUCCUUGGGUGACGACCGGCGCACGGGUGAGUAACGCGUAUCCGACCUACCCAUAACACGGGCACAGCCGCUCGAAAGAGUGAUUGAUUCCCGAUAUGUUAUAUAAGUAGAUUAUAUAAUGAAAGAUUUAUUGGUAACGGAUGAGGAUGCGUACGAUUAGCUAGUUGGCGGGGUAACGGCCCACCAAGGCGACGAUCGUUAGGGGUUCUGAGAGGAAGGUCCCCCACACUGGAACUGAGACACGGUCCAGACUCCUACGGGAGGCAGCAGUGAGGAAUAUUGGUCAAUGGGCGAGAGCCUGAACCAGCCAAGUAGCGUGAAGGAUGACUGCCCUACGGGUUGUAAACUUCUUUUGUUUGGGAAUAAAAGACGCUACGUGUAGCGUUCUGCAUGUACCUUACGAAUAAGCAUCGGCUAAUUCCGUG